UACGGAGGAUGCGAGCGUUAUCCGGAUUUAUUGGGUUUAAAGGGUGCGUAGGCGGGCUUUUAAGUCAGCGGUAAAAAUUCGGGGCUCAACCCCGUCCGGCCGUUGAAACUGGGGGUCUUGAGUGGGCGAGAAGAAGGCGGAAUGCGUGGUGUAGCGGUGAAAUGCAUAGAUAUCACGCAGAACCCCGAUUGCUAAGGCAGCCUUCCGGCGCCCUACUGACGCUGAGGCACGAAAGUGCGGAGAUCGAACAGG
rnacentral:rRNA from 1 species